rnacentral:rRNA from 1 species
CUACUGGAAACGGUGGCUAAUACCGCAUAACGUCGCAAGACCAAAGAGGGGGACCUUCGGGCCUCUUGCCAUCAGAUGUGCCCAGAUGGGAUUAGCUUGUUGGUGAGGUAACGGCUCACCAAGGCGACGAUCCCUAGCUGGUCUGAGAGGAUGACCAGCCACACUGGAACUGAGACACGGUCCAGACUCCUACGGGAGGCAGCAGUGGGGAAUAUUGCACAAUGGGCGCAAGCCUGAUGCAGCCAUGCCGCGUGUAUGAAGAAGGCCUUCGGGUUGUAAAGUACUUUCAGCGGGGAGGAAGGUGUUGUGGUUAAUAACCGCAGCAAUUGACGUUACCCGCAGAAGAAGCACCGGCUAACUCCGUGCCAGCAGCCGCGGUAAUACGGAGGGUGCAAGCGUUAAUCGGAAUUACUGGGCGUAAAGCGCACGCAGGCGGUCUGUCAAGUCGGAUGUGAAAUCCCCGGGCUCAACCUGGGAACUGCAUUCGAAACUGGCAGGCUUGAGUCUUGUAGAGGGGGGUAGAAUUCCAGGUGUAGCGGUGAAAUGCGUAGAGAUCUGGAGGAAUACCGG